rnacentral:rRNA from 1 species
GGGGGGGGGUGGGGGGGGGGUGGGGGCGUGGGGGGGGGACGGGGAGGCCCGGCUUUUGUGGGGUGCUCGAGUGUCGGCCGGGUGGGUAGCACGUUGGUAACCUGCCCUUGACUUUGGGAUAACGUCAGGAAACUGGGGCUAACACCGGAUCGGAGCUCCUGCUGCAUGGUUGGGGUUGGAAAGUUUCGGCGGUUGGGGAGGGCCUCGCGUCUGAUCCGCUUUAUGGUGGGGUAGUGGCUUCCCAAGGCUUUGACGGGUAGCCGGCCGGGGAGGGUGACCGGCCACAUUGGGACUGAGAUACGGCCCAGACUCCGACGGGAGGCAGCAGGGGGGAAUAUUGCACAAUGGGCGGAAGCCUAAUGCAGCAACGCCGCGUGCGGGAUGACGGCCUUCGGGUUGUAAACCGCUUUCGCCUGUGACGAAGCGUGAGUGACGGUAAUGGGUAAAGAAGCACCGGCUAACUACGUG